UCUGGAGAUCCACUCCACCGGAGUUUCCUAUGUGAGCCCAGAUUAUGGGGCUCUCAGUUAGAAGAAAGUGAUUUCUCACUAUCCCAUAUUUUAGCAAAGGAAAUGGAACAAACUGUGCCGUCUCCUCCCCCGUGGUUCCCAGUACUGCUUUGUGUGUGCAAUGACUGUCAAACCAAGGUGUGUGCUUUCCAGCACUCAGGUGGCCCUUCUGCCUCUGCUGUAGGGCCAGAUGUGCAUCUCCAGAGCAUUGUAUUGCUGCCACCCCAACAGCUGUGCAUGUAUGAACACAGAAGUGGGCCCAGGGGUAACUCAAAAGAAGAAAAGUAGACUAAUCGCCAUUGCAUCCUGCUGUAUGUGUGUCCGAGUAAACAAUCACACAUGAACCUCUCAGGCAAGUGAAAACAACCUGGACAAUUUUGGGCUACAUGAUGCUUCUUCAUAAAGGCUGACACUGGUUUAAAAAAAAAAAACAAUUUGUUUUCUUACACAUAAUCAGCAUGUAUCUGUAAAGCUGCAGUCACUCACAGUAGUAUACAUGGGAUGAAAAACCUCCAGGAAGGACAGAAUUCAAAUACAUGAAAGAGAAAUUGUUUCAGGUAAACUGCUGAAUUUUCUUCAGGCAAAGUUCUUUUGAACGAUACUAGAUGCAAAUAAGUUACAACUAUCACAUUAUUAAAGAAGGUUUUGCUGCUAAAAGACCAUGAAAACAGAUAAGUCAUAAAGCUACAUUAGGACCUUGCUGGUUUAUUAGGCUUGAAGAAAUGGUUUUCUUAUAUUUCAUCAAGAUAUGUUACCUCUAGAUGUGAGGAUGUGUACACAUUGCCACACAUGUAAAAAUAUAUGCCUGAUGUUCUUACGUACCAACAUUUUGGCAGUCAGUUGAAUAUUACCCAAUCAAUAACCACCACUGGCCUUCAUAAAUGCUUCAGGAAAUUGCAUCUUUUUUCUCUGAUUCACCUACAGAUUUAAUUUUGUGCCUGAAACCUAUAAUCAGUUAUGGCUUUCUAUUAACAAAUGUUUCAAAUUAGGGAGGAGGGUGGUAAGAGCUGAGAUUCUGGGAUUUGUAUUGUUACGAGCACUUUUUUUGUUCCAUAUAUGUAAUUGUUUGUCAUUCCUAAUUACAGGUUGUGAGCUAUAUGAAUAACUGCCUAUUUUAUUCACAAAA